rnacentral:tRNA from 1 species
AACUAAUGAACUUGAACAAGUAUAUAUUUUGAAAAUAUAUGAAAGAAACAAAAAUUUUCUAUUAGUUU